AACACUACACUUCUCGUCUCAAGUCUGUACCGAACACACGUAUGUUAGACGUGUAAUAAAUAAUGUCUAAAAUAAAGUGGUUUCUCUGAAGUCCCUCGGCCAGCUCCUCAUCCACACACGACCACAUCGCACAUGGUGUCAGAAGUAAAGUCGGAAGAAAAAGAAACAUGUCAACGGAGCAGGUAAAGAACGUAAUUACCAUGUCUAACCUAAGACCGUUAAAUUUAGCAAAUGGCGGCACACAAAGGAAUAACGGCAAAAGCAAUUUUGAAUUGUGGCGAAUGUGGAAAGAAAAAUUUUUGAUAUAUACGGAUGCAAAUGAUUUUGAUAAUAUUCCGGAAAGAAAAAAGUGGCAUUAUUCUUGAAUUCAUUAGGAGAUGAUGGAAUCGACAUAUUCAAUUCAUUCAAUAUGGACAGAACGAAAAUUUCACUCAACGAUGUUAUUUUAAAAUUUGAUCAAAAAUUUAACCCAUGUAAGAAUACGACAGUGGAAAGAUAUAAUUUCUUUACAAGAUACCAGAAACAAGAUGAAUCAUUGGAUGAAUAUUGUACAGCAUUGAAUAAUCUGGCAAGAAGUUGUGAAUUAUCGAACUUGAAGGACUCGCUCAUCAAAGAUAUGUUUAUAAUUGGAAUUAAAAACACAUAUAUAAAGGAAAGACUGUUACAAGAAAAUUUCACAAACAUAGAUGAAGCUAUCAGGUAUGCAAGAAACUUAGAAUUGUCACAGGAAAGAUCUAACCAACUUCCAAAGACAGAAAAAGAAGAAACAAACACUGUUGAUGUUAUCUCGGGCAAGAAACAGAUGUUUAGAUCAAGAAGCAAACAACGAAAUGUCAAUAAUCACCAUGACAAGUCAAAUGGCAAAAAACCGUUACAACACAAUUUUCAAAAUUUCCAGCAUAACAAUUCUUUUUCCAGCAAUUAUUUUUCAGCUAAUAGAAAACAGAAGUUAUGUGGAAGAUGUGGUCAAGUACACAGACAAAAAUGUCCAGCAGAAGGGAAAAUCUGCAAUAUCUGCAAAAAGAUGAAUCACUUUGCUAAAUUCUGCAAAAGCAAGAAUGAAAAAUCGACGUAAAACAUCCAUGUAAAACAAUACUAGGUUGGAGAACCUCAGAGAAACUUGGAAUUGUGAAACGACUGUUUCAACUUACUAAAAAUGCUAUGCAUGAUGACUAUACUAACUUCAUUGAGCAUGAAACUACUAACAAUACAGUCAAGGUCAACACUGGAGAAUGUCAAUAAAGGAUUUACCUGGAGUAAUAAUUUUUGUUGAUGACAUAUUAGUAUUUGGCUCAACACAACAAGAACAUGAUAAAAACUUGGAGAAAGUCUUCACCAAGGCAAAAGAGUCCUGACAGGUCAAAGGUCGAGGCAAUAACUCAAAUGGAGAGACCAAAAGAUGUCAAAGAACUACAAAGAUUUCUUGGAAUGAUGUCCCGGCAAGACUACAAAGAAUGAUGAUAGCAAUUCAAUCAUACGAUUUAAUAGUUUCUUAUGUAAAGGGCACAGAGAUGUAUGUUUCAGACACACUAUCACGUGCACCCAUAAAA